ensembl:rRNA predicted gene, 23702
GUGUGUGGCCACACCACCCUGCACCCACUAGAUCUCAUCUCACUUUGGAAGCUAAGCAGGGCUGGACCUGAUUCAGACUUGGAUGGAAGAGUUUUAACAUAUGAGUUGGGGUUCAGGGUACCCAUAGACA